rnacentral:rRNA from 1 species
AUGCCACUUCACAGUACCCAGGAAAUCACAUUUUUCAUCUUCAAGACCAAUAGCCAUUGCCAUCAUAAAGCUGGGAUUCAAUCAGGUCAUGAUGCUUUCUGGUCUCUAUCAGAUGGGCCCAUGGUUGCUUUGUGUCUUUUGAUAUGGUAUCAAAUCAUGACCUGUGAUGCGUUGUGGCAUAUGAAGGCGAUUAUUCCAUCACCAAUCAACUCAGAGAUUACAACUGGCAAGAGGUCAUUUUUUCGAGAGCAUACCUGGCAAGAGGACACGAUGAGUGUGCAUGCAGUUCCUCAAAUUUCUUUGAGGAUAUCACCGAGCAAGCUUGUACAUAUUUUAUGA